GGGUUGUGAGGUUAAGCGACUAAGCGUACACGGUGGAUGCCCUGGCAGUCAGAGGCGAUGAAGGACGUGCUAAUCUGCGAAAAGCGUCGGUAAGGUGAUAUGAACCGUUAUAACCGGCGAUGUCCGAAUGGGGAAACCCAGUGCAAUUCGUUGCACUAUCGUUAACUGAAUACAUAGGUUAACGAGGCGAACCGGGGGAACUGAAACAUCUAAGUACCCCGAGGAAAAGAAAUCAACCGAGAUUCCCCAGUAGCGGCGAGCGAACGGGGAGCAGCCCAGAGUCUGAAUCAGCUUGUGUGUUAGUGGAACGGUCUGGAAAGUCCGACGGUACAGGGUGAUAGUCCCGUACACCAAAAUGCACAGGCUGUGAACUCGAAGAGUAGGGCGGGACACGUGGUAUCCUGUCUGAAUAUGGGGGGACCAUCCUCCAAGGCUAAAUACUCCUGACUGACCGAUAGUGAACCAGUACCGUGAGGGAAAGGCGAAAAGAACCCCGGCGAGGGGAGUGAAAAAGAACCUGAAACCGUGUACGUACAAGCAGUGGGAGCACCUUCGGGUGUGACUGCGUACCUUUUGUAUAAUGGGUCAGCGACUUAUAUUCUGUAGCAAGGUUAACCGUAUAGGGGAGCCGCAGGGAAACCGAGUCUUAACUGGGCGUUAAGUUGCAGGGUAUAGACCCGAAACCCGGUGAUCUAGCCAUGGGCAGGUUGAAGGUUGGGUAACACUAACUGGAGGACCGAACCGACUAAUGUUGAAAAAUUAGCGGAUGACUUGUGGCUGGGGGUGAAAGGCCAAUCAAACCGGGAGAUAGCUGGUUCUCCCCGAAAGCUAUUUAGGUAGCGCCUCGUGAACUCAUCUUCGGGGGUAGAGCACUGUUUCGGCUAGGGGGUCAUCCCGACUUACCAACCCGAUGCAAACUACGAAUACCGAAGAAUGUUAUCACGGGAGACACACGGCGGGUGCUAACGUCCGUCGUGAAGAGGGAAACAACCCAGACCGCCAGCUAAGGUCCCAAAGUCAUGGUUAAGUGGGAAACGAUGUGGGAAGGCACAGACAGCCAGGAUGUUGGCUUAGAAGCAGCCAUCAUUUAAAGAAAGCGUAAUAGCUCACUGGUCGAGUCGGCCUGCGCGGAAGAUGUAACGGGGCUAAACCAUGCACCGAAGCUGCGGCAGCGACACUAUGUGUUGUUGGGUAGGGGAGCGUUCUGUAAGCCUGCGAAGGUGUGCUGUGAGGCAUGCUGGAGGUAUCAGAAGUGCGAAUGCUGACAUAAGUAACGAUAAAGCGGGUGAAAAGCCCGCUCGCCGGAAGACCAAGGGUUCCUGUCCAACGUUAAUCGGGGCAGGGUGAGUCGACCCCUAAGGCGAGGCCGAAAGGCGUAGUCGAUGGGAAACAGGUUAAUAUUCCUGUACUUGGUGUUACUGCGAAGGGGGACGGAGAAGGCUAUGUUAGCCGGGCGACGGUUGUCCCGGUUUAAGCAUGUAGGCUGAUUGUCCAGGCAAAUCCGGAUAAUCAAGGCUGAGGUGUGAUGACGAGGCACUACGGUGCUGAAGUAACAAAUGCCCUGCUUCCAGGAAAAGCCUCUAAGCAUCAGGUAACAUUAAAUCGUACCCCAAACCGACACAGGUGGUCAGGUAGAGAAUACCAAGGCGCUUGAGAGAACUCGGGUGAAGGAACUAGGCAAAAUGGUGCCGUAACUUCGGGAGAAGGCACGCUGGUGUGUAGGUGAAGUCCCUGCGGAUGGAGCUGAGACCAGUCGAAGAUACCAGCUGGCUGCAACUGUUUAUUAAAAACACAGCACUGUGCAAACACGAAAGUGGACGUAUACGGUGUGACGCCUGCCCGGUGCCGGAAGGUUAAUUGAUGGGGUUAUCCGUAAGGAGAAGCUCUUGAUCGAAGCCCCGGUAAACGGCGGCCGUAACUAUAACGGUCCUAAGGUAGCGAAAUUCCUUGUCGGGUAAGUUCCGACCUGCACGAAUGGCGUAAUGAUGGCCAGGCUGUCUCCACCCGAGACUCAGUGAAAUUGAACUCGCUGUGAAGAUGCAGUGUACCCGCGGCAAGACGGAAAGACCCCGUGAACCUUUACUAUAGCUUGACACUGAACAUUGAGCCUUGAUGUGUAGGAUAGGUGGGAGGCUUUGAAGCGUGGACGCCAGUCUGCGUGGAGCCAACCUUGAAAUACCACCCUUUAAUGUUUGAUGUUCUAACGUUGGCCCCUGACCGGGGUUGCGGACAGUGUCUGGUGGGUAGUUUGACUGGGGCGGUCUCCUCCCAAAGCGUAACGGAGGAGCACGAAGGUUAGCUAAUCCUGGUCGGACAUCAGGAGGUUAGUGCAAUGGCAUAAGCUAGCUUGACUGCGAGCGUGACGGCGCGAGCAGGUGCGAAAGCAGGUCAUAGUGAUCCGGUGGUUCUGAAUGGAAGGGCCAUCGCUCAACGGAUAAAAGGUACUCCGGGGAUAACAGGCUGAUACCGCCCAAGAGUUCAUAUCGACGGCGGUGUUUGGCACCUCGAUGUCGGCUCAUCACAUCCUGGGGCUGAAGUAGGUCCCAAGGGUAUGGCUGUUCGCCAUUUAAAGUGGUACGCGAGCUGGGUUUAGAACGUCGUGAGACAGUUCGGUCCCUAUCUGCCGUGGGCGCUGGAGAAUUGAGGGGGGCUGCUCCUAGUACGAGAGGACCGGAGUGGACGCAUCACUGGUGUUCGGGUUGUCAUGCCAAUGGCACUGCCCGGUAGCUAAAUGCGGAAGAGAUAAGUGCUGAAAGCAUCUAAGCACGAAACUUGCCCCGAGAUGAGUUCUCCCUGAGACUUUAAGUCUCCUGAAGGAACGUUAAAGACGAUGACGUUGAUAGGCCGGGUGUGUAAGCGCAGCGAUGCGUUGAGCUAACCGGUACUAAUGAACCGUGAGGCUUAACCUUACAACGCCGAAG
rnacentral:rRNA from 1 species